ACGGAGGGUGCAAGCGUUAUCCGGAUUUAUUGGGUUUAAAGGGUCCGCAGGCGGACCAAUAAGUCAGUGGUGAAAUCCCGUAGCUCAACUACGGAACUGCCAUUGAUACUGUUGGUCUUGAGUGUGGUUGAAGUGGGCGGAAUGUGUCGUGUAGCGGUGAAAUGCUUAGAUAUGACACAGAACACCGAUUGCGAAGGCAGCUCACUAAACCACUACUGACGCUCAGGGACGAAAGCGUGGGGAGCGAACAGG
rnacentral:rRNA from 1 species